GCGACUGUGGCUCAGUUGGUAGAGUUGUUGUCUUGCAGUCUGAAGGUUGAGGGUUUGAGCUUCCUCCUGCAACA